UAAUCGUAGAUCAGCAUGCUACGGUGAAUACGUUCCCGGGUCUUGUACACACCGCCCGUCACACCACGAGAGUUUGUAACACCCGAAGCCGGUGGAGUAACCUUUUAGGAGCUAGCCGUCGAAGGUGGGACAAAUGAUUGGGGUGAAGUCGUAACAAGGUAGCCGUAUCGGAAGGUGCGGCUGGAUCACCUCCUUUCUAAGGA
rnacentral:rRNA from 2 species